GGCGACGGGUGAGUAAUACUUAGGAAUCUGCCCAUUAGUGGGGGACAACUAGAAGAAAUUCUAGCUAAUACCGCAUACGCCCUACGGGGGGAAAGCGGGGGGAUCUUCGGACCUCGCGCUAAUGGAUGAGCCUAAGUCGGAUUAGCUUGUUGGUGAGGUAAAGGCUCACCAAGGCGACGAUCCGUAGCUGGUCUGAGAGGACGAUCAGCCACACUGGGACUGAGACACGGCCCAG
rnacentral:rRNA from 1 species